rnacentral:rRNA from 1 species
ACACGCAUGACACACUGCAUAUCAAUAAGCGGAGGAAAAGAAACUAACAAGGAUUCCCUUAGUAACGGCGAGUGAAGCGGGAAGAGCUCAAAUUUGAAAUCUUCAAGGUUCUACCUUGACGAAUUGUAGUUUAUAGAAGUGUUUUCUGUUAGUGGAGUGGCAAAAGUUCUUUGGAAUAGGACAUCAUAGAGGGUGAGAAUCCCGUAUUUGGUCAUUCCUCCUAGCGUUGUGAUACACUUUCAACGAGUCGGAUUGUUUGGGAAUGCAGUCCGAAAUGGGUGGUAAAUUUCAUCUAAAGCUAAAUAUUGGCGAGAGACCGAUAGCGAACAAGUACCGUGAGGGAAAGAUGAAAAGAACUUUGAAAAGAGAGUUAAACAGUACGUGAAAUUGUCAAAAGGGAAGCGUUUGACACCAGUGUUGUUUUUCCGAAAAUCAAUUACGAAUGUUUUAUUUUUGAGGAGUUAUGACUUCAUCGGCUUGCUCCUUUCUUUAUGAAACUUUCUUAAUGCACUUUUCGGUUAACAAGUCAACAUCAAUUUCUUUUGUUGUAAAGGGCAUGAGGAAGGUGGCUUUCUUUUCGGAGAAAGUGUUUAUAGCCUUGUGAUCUCUGCAACCGGAGAGACUGAGGUCUGCAGCGUAGACUCUUCGGGGUUAGAUACAGUUUGUGCUAAGCUAUAGCUUUUUAUAGACAACUUGUUGACUAUGUUUAGUCUUGUAGCUUACUCGCUUACGCUAUUUUACCUACGCUUAGGAUGUUGACUGAUAUGUAGUCGU